rnacentral:rRNA from 1 species
GAUGAACGCUGGCGGCGUGCCUAAUACAUGCAAGUCGAGCGAACGGACGAGAAGCUUGCUUCUCUGAUGUUAGCGGCGGACGGGUGAGUAACACGUGGAUAACCUACCUAUAAGACUGGGAUAACUUCGGGAAACCGGAGCUAAUACCGGAUGAUAUUUUGAACCGCAUGGUUCAAAAGUGAAAGACGGUCUUGCCGUCACUUAUAGAUGUAUCCGCGCUGCAUUAGCUAGUUGGUAAGGUAACGGCUUACCAAGGCAACGAUGCAUAGCCGACCUGAGAGGGUGAUCGGCCACACUGGAACUGAGACACGGUCCAGACUCCUACGGGAGGCAGCAGUAGGGAAUCUUCCGCAAUGGGCGAAAGCCUGACGGAGCAACGCCGCGUGAGUGAUGAAGGUCUUCGGAUCGUAAAACUCUGUUAUUAGGGAAGAACAUAUGUGUAAGUAACUGUGCACAUCUUGACGGUACCUAAUCAGAAAGCCACGGCUAACUACGUG